rnacentral:rRNA from 1 species
GACGAACGCUGGCGGCGUGCCUAAUACAUGCAAGUAGAACGCUGAAGAGAGGAGCUUGCUCUUCUUGGAUGAGUUGCGAACGGGUGAGUAACGCGUAGGUAACCUGCCUUGUAGCGGGGGAUAACUAUUGGAAACGAUAGCUAAUACCGCAUAACAAUGGAUGACACAUGUCAUUUAUUUGAAAGGGGCAAUUGCUCCACUACAAGAUGGACCUGCGUUGUAUUAGCUAGUAGGUGAGGUAACGGCUCACCUAGGCGACGAUACAUAGCCGACCUGAGAGGGUGAUCGGCCACACUGGGACUGAGACAUGGCCCAGACUCCUACGGGAGGCAGCAGUAGGGAAUCUUCGGCAAUGGGGGCAACCCUGACCGAGCAACGCCGCGUGAGUGAAGAAGGUUUUCGGAUCGUAAAGCUCUGUUGUAAGUCAAGAACGAGUGUGAGAGUGGAAAGUUCACACUGUGACGGUAGCUUACCAGAAAGGGACGGCUAACUACGUGCCAGCAGCCGCGGUAAUACGUAGGUCCCGAGCGUUGUCCGGAUUUAUUGGGCGUAAAGCGAGCGCAGGCGGUUUGAUAAGUCUGAAGUUAAGGCUGUGGCUCAACCAUAGUUCGCUUUGGAAACUGUCAAACUUGAGUGCAGAUGGGGAGAGUGGAAUUCCAUGUGUAGCGGUGAAAUGCGUAGAUAUAUGGAGGAACACCGGUGGCGAAAGCGGCUCUCUGGUCUGUAACUGACGCUGAGGCUCGAAAGCGUGGGGAGCGAACAGGAUUAGAUACCCUGGUAGUCCACGCCGUAAACGAUGAGUGCUAGGAGUUGGAUCCUUUCCGGGAUUCAGUGCCGCAGCUAACGCAUUAAGCACUCCGCCUGGGGAGUACGACCGCAAGGUUGAAACUCAAAGGAAUUGACGGGGGCCCGCACAAGCGGUGGAGCAUGUGGUUUAAUUCGAAGCAACGCGAAGAACCUUACCAGGUCUUGACAUCCCGAUGCUAUUUCUAGAGAUAGAAAGUUACUUCGGUACAUCGGUGACAGGUGGUGCAUGGUUGUCGUCAGCUCGUGUCGUGAGAUGUUGGGUUAAGUCCCGCAACGAGCGCAACCCCUAUUGUUAGUUGCCAUCAUUCAGUUGGGCACUCUAGCGAGACUGCCGGUAAUAAACCGGAGGAAGGUGGGGAUGACGUCAAAUCAUCAUGCCCCUUAUGACCUGGGCUACACACGUGCUACAAUGGUUGGUACAACGAGUUGCGAGUCGGUGACGGCAAGCUAAUCUCUUAAAGCCAAUCUCAGUUCGGAUUGUAGGCUGCAACUCGCCUACAUGAAGUCGGAAUCGCUAGUAAUCGCGGAUCAGCACGCCGCGGUGAAUACGUUCCCGGGCCU